rnacentral:rRNA from 1 species
GACGAACGCUGGCGGCGUGCCUAAUACAUGCAAGUCGAGCGAAUCUGAUGGGAGCUUGCUCCUUGAUGAUUAGCGGCGGACGGGUGAGUAACACGUGGGUAACCUGCCUGUAAGACUGGGAUAACUCCGGGAAACCGGGGCUAAUACCGGAUAACUUUUUUCUUCGCAUGAGGGAGAAUUGAAAGAUGGCUUCGGCUAUCACUUACAGAUGGACCCGCGGCGCAUUAGCUAGUUGGUGAGGUAACGGCUCACCAAGGCGACGAUGCGUAGCCGACUUGAGAGGGUGAUCGGCCACACUGGGACUGAGACACGGCCCAGACUCCUACGGGAGGCAGCAGUAGGGAAUCGUCCGCAAUGGACGAAAGUCUGACGGAGCAACGCCGCGGGAGGGAUGAAGGUUGUCGGAUCGUAAAACUCGGUUGUUAGGGAAGAACAAGUAUCGUUCGAAUAGGGCGGUACCUUGACGGUACCUAACCAGAAAGCCACGGCUAACUACGUG